UUUGGUGGUCAUAAAGCUGUGGCCCGACCCGAUCCCAUCCCGAACUCGGCCGUCAAACACAGUCUUGCCGAUGGUAGUGCCUGUAUAGCUUGCGCGAGAGUAGGUUGCCGCCAGAU
rfam:Pedosphaera parvula Ellin514 ctg178, whole genome shotgun sequence.